CGACGCCCCGCAAGGGGAGUGGCAGACGGGUGAGUAACGCGUGGGAAUCUACCUAGUUCUACGGAACAACAGUUGGAAACGACUGCUAAUACCGUAUACGCCCUAUGGGGGAAAGAUUUAUCGGAAUUAGAUGAGCCCGCGUAAGAUUAGCUAGUUGGUGGGGUAAUGGCCUACCAAGGCGACGAUCUUUAGCUGGUCUGAGAGGAUGAUCAGCCACACUGGGACUGAGACACGGCCCAGACUCCUACGGGAGGCAGCAGUGGGGAAUAUUGGACAAUGGGCGCAAGCCUGAUCCAGCCAUGCCGCGUGAGUGAUGAAGGCCUUAGGGUUGUAAAGCUCUUUCACCGAUGAAGAUAAUGACGGUAGUCGGAGAAGAAGCCCCGGCUAACUUCGUGCCAGCAGCCGCGGUAAUACGAAGGGGGCUAGCGUUGUUCGGAUUUACUGGGCGUAAAGCGCACGUAGGCGGUUUGUUAAGUCAGGGGUGAAAUCCCGGAGCUCAACUCCGGAACUGCCUUUGAUACUGGCAAGCUAGAGUCCGGAAGAGGUAAGUGGAACUCCUAGUGUAGAGGUGGAAUUCGUAGAUAUUAGGAAGAACACCAGUGGCGAAGGCGGCUUACUGGUCCGGAACUGACGCUGAGGUGCGAAAGCGUGGGGGGCAAACAGGAUUAGAUACCCUGGUAGUCCACGCCGUANACUAUGAGAGCUAGCCGUUGGAUGGNUUACCAUUCAGUGGCGCAGCUAACGCAUUAAGCUCUCCGCCUGGGGAGUACGGUCGCAAGAUUAAAACUCAAAGGAAUUGA
rnacentral:rRNA from 1 species